AGGACGAACGCUGGCGGCGUGCUUAACACAUGCAAGUCACGGGGGCCCGUAGCAAUACGGGCAACCGGCGAACGGGUGCGUAACACGUGAGCAAUCUGCCGAUCUCUGGGGGAUAGCCAGCCUAAACGGCUGGGUAAUACCGCAUACGCUCGUUGGGGGGAGUCCCCUGAUGAGGAAACCUCUGGGGGAGAUCGAGGAGCUCGCGACCUAUCAGCUAGUUGGCGGGGUAACGGCCCACCAAGGGCAGCGACGGGUAGCUGGU
rnacentral:rRNA from 1 species